rnacentral:rRNA from 1 species
AGAGUUUGAUCCUGGCUCAGGACGAACGCUGGCGGCGUGCUAAUACAUGCAAGUAGAACGCUGAAGAAAGGAGCUUGCUUCUUUUGGAUGAGUUGCGAACGGGUGAGUAACGCGUAGGUAACCUGCCUUGUAGCGGGGGAUAACUAUUGGAAACGAUAGCUAAUACCGCAUAACAGCUUUUGACACAUGUUAGAAGCUUGAAAGAUGCAAUUGCAUCACUACGAGAUGGACCUGCGUUGUAUUAGCUAGUAGGUAGGGUAACGGCCUACCUAGGCGACGAUACAUAGCCGACCUGAGAGGGUGAUCGGCCACACUGGGACUGAGACACGGCCCAGACUCCUACGGGAGGCAGCAGUAGGGAAUCUUCGGCAAUGGGGGCAACCCUGACCGAGCAACGCCGCGUGAGUGAAGAAGGUUUUCGGAUCGUAAAGCUCUGUUGUAAGAGAAGAACGUGUGUGAGAGUGGAAAGUUCACACAGUGACGGUAACUUACCAGAAAGGGACGGCUAACUACGUGCCAGCAGCCGCGGUAAUACGUAGGUCCCGAGCGUUGUCCGGAUUUAUUGGGCGUAAAGCGAGCGCAGGCGGUUUAAUAAGUCUGAAGUUAAAGGCAGUGGCUUAACCAUUGUUCGCUUUGGAAACUGUUAAACUUGAGUGCAGAAGGGGAGAGUGGAAUUCCAUGUGUAGCGGUGAAAUGCGUAGAUAUAUGGAGGAACACCGGUGGCGAAAGCGGCUCUCUGGUCUGUAACUGACGCUGAGGCUCGAAAGCGUGGGGAGCAAACAGGAUUAGAUACCCUGGUAGUCCACGCCGUAAACGAUGAGUGCUAGGUGUUAGGCCCUUUCCGGGGCUUAGUGCCGCAGCUAACGCAUUAAGCACUCCGCCUGGGGAGUACGACCGCAAGGUUGAAACUCAAAUGAAUUGACGG